rnacentral:rRNA from 1 species
GGACUAAUAUGUUGGUCGUGCCUCGGUACGUACUGGCUUGUUGGUUUCUACCUUCUGACGAACCAUGAUGUCAUUAAUUUGGUGUCUUGGGGAAUCAGGACUGUUACUUUGAAAAAAUUAGAGUGUUUAAAGCAGGCCCACGCUUGAAUACAUUAGCAUGGAAUAAUAGAAUAGGACUUUGGUUCUAUUUUGUUGGUUUCUAGGACUGAAGUA